rnacentral:rRNA from 1 species
CCUACGGGUGGCAGCAGUGAGGAAUAUUGGUCAAUGGACGAGAGUCUGAACCAGCCAAGUAGCGUGAAGGAUGACUGCCCUAUGGGUUGUAAACUUCUUUUAUAAAGGAAUAAAACGAGGCACGUGUGCCUGUUUGCAUGUACUUUAUGAAUAAGGAUCGGCUAACUCCGUGCCAGCAGCCGCGGUAAUACGGAGGAUCCGAGCGUUAUCCGGAUUUAUUGGGUUUAAAUGGAGCGUAGAUGGGUUGUUAAGUCAGUUGUGAAAGUUUGCGGCUCAACCGUAAAAUUGCAAUUGAUACUGGCAGUCUUGAGUACAGUUGAGGUAAGCGGAAUUCGUGGUGUAGCGGUGAAAUGCUUAGAUAUCACGAAGAACCCCGAUUGCGAAGGCAGCUUACUAAACUGUGACUGACAUUGAUGCUCGAAAGUGUGGGUAUCAAACAGGAUUAGAUACCCGGGUAGUC